UGAACGCUGGCGGCAUGCCUUACACAUGCAAGUCGAGCGGCAGCGCGGGGGCAACCCUGGCGGCGAGCGACGAACGGGUGAGUAAUACAUCGGAACGUGUCCAGUAGCGGGGGAUAACCUGUCGAAAGAUAGGCUAAUACCGCAUACGACCUACGGGUGAAAGCGGGGGACCGCAAGGCCUCGCACUAUUGGAGCGGCCGAUGUCGGAUUAGCUAGUUGGCGGGGUAACGGCCCACCAAGGCGACGAUCCGUAGCUGGUCUGAGAGGACGACCAGCCACACUGGAACUGAGACACGGUCCAGACUCCUACGGGAGGCAGCAGUGGGGAAUAUUGCACAAUGGGCGAAAGCCUGAUGCAGCAACGCCGCGUGAGGGAUGACGGCCUUCGGGUUGUAAACCUCUUUCAGCAGGGACGAAGCCUUCGGGUGACUGUACCUGCAAAAGAAGGACCGGCCAACUACGUGCCAGCAGCCGCGGUAAUACGUAGGGUCUGAGCGUUGUCCGGAAUUAUUGGGCGUAAAGAGCUCGUAGGCGGCCUUUCGCGUCUGCUGUGAAAACCCGGAGCUUAACUCCGGGCCUGCAGCGGAUACGGGAAGGCUAGAGUUCGGUAGGGGAGACUGGAAUUCCUGGUGUAGCGGUGAAAUGCGCAGAUAUCAGGAGGAACACCGGUGGCGAAGGCGGGUCUCUGGGCCGAUACUGACGCUGAGGAGCGAAAGCAUGGGGAGCGAACAGGAUUAGAUACCCUGGUAGUCCAUGCCGUAAACGUUGGGCGCUAGGUGUGGGUUUCCUUCCACGGAAUCCGUGCCGCAGCUAACGCAUUAAGCGCCCCGCCUGGGGAGUACGGCCGCAAGGCUAAAACUCAAAGGAAUUGACGGGGGCCCGCACAAGCGGCGGAGCAUGCGGAUUAAUUCGAUGCGACGCGAAGAACCUUACCUGGGCUUGACAUACACGGAAAUCCAGCAGAGAUGUUGGGUCCGUAAGGGCCGUGUACAGGUGGUGCAUGGCUGUCGUCAGCUCGUGUCGUGAGAUGUUGGGUUAAGUCCCGCAACGAGCGCAACCCUCGUUCCAUGUUGCCAGCACGUAAUGGUGGGGACUCAUGGGAGACUGCCGGGGUCAACUCGGAGGAAGGUGGGGAUGACGUCAAGUCAUCAUGCCCCUUAUGUCCAGGGCUUCACGCAUGCUACAAUGGCCGGUACAAAGGGCUGCGAAGUCGCAAGGCGGAGCGAAUCCCAAAAAGCCGGUCUCAGUUCGGAUCGGGGUCUGCAACUCGACCCCGUGAAGUUGGAGUCGCUAGUAAUCGCAGAUCAGCAACGCUGCGGUGAAUACGUUCCCGGGCCUUGUACACACCGCCCGUCACGUCAUGAAAGUCGGUAACACCCGAAGCCGGUGGCCCAACCCUUGUGGAGGGAGCUGUCGAAGGUGGGACUGGCGAUUAGGACGAAGUCGUAACAAGGUAAC
rnacentral:rRNA from 1 species